ACCUACGGGGGGCAGCAGUGGGGGAUAUUGGACAAUGGGGGAAACCCUGAUCCAGCGAUGCCGCGUGAGGGAAGAAGGUUUUCGGAUUGUAAACCUCUGUGGAGGGGGACGAUAAUGACGGUACCUGACUAAGAAGCCCCGGCUAACUACGUGCCAGCAGCCGCGGUAAUACGUAGGGGGCAAGCGUUAUCCGGAUUUACUGGGUGUAAAGGGAGCGUAGACGGCAGCGCAAGUCUGGAGUGAAAUCCCAUGGCUUAACCAUGGAACUGCUUUGGAAACUGUGCAGCUAGAGUGCAGGAGAGGUA
rnacentral:rRNA from 1 species